rnacentral:rRNA from 1 species
AACGAACGCUGGCGGCAGGCCUAACACAUGCAAGUCGAACGCUGUAGCAAUACAGAGUGGCAGACGGGUGAGUAACACGUGGGAACAUACCCUUAGGUUCGGAAUAGCUCAGGGAAACUUGAGGUAAUACCGGAUAAGCCCUUCGGGGGAAAGAUUUAUCGCCAUUGGAUUGGCCCGCGUCUGAUUAGCUAGUUGGUGAGGUAAUGGCUCACCAAGGCGACGAUCAGUAGCNGGUCUGAGAGGAUGACCAGCCACACUGGGACUGAGACACGGCCCAGACUCCUACGGGAGGCAGCAGUAAGGAAUAUUGCGCAAUGGGCGGAAAGCCUGACGCAGCGACGCCGCGUGGGGAUGAAGGUCUUCGGAUUGUAAACCCCUUUCGGGAGGGAAGAUGGAGUGGGGUAACCCAUUCGGACGGUACCUCCAGAAGCAGCCACGGCUAACUUCGUGCCAGCAGCCGCCG